GACGAACGCUGGCGGCGUGCUUAACACAUGCAAGUCGAACGGAAAGGCCCCGGAUUGCUGGGGUCUUCGAGUGGCGCACGGGUGAGUAACACGUGGGUGAUCUGCCCUGCACUCUGGGAUAAGCCUGGGAGACUGGGUCUAAUACCGGCUAUGACCGUGCUAUAGUGUGGGCUGUUGACAGUUUUUCGGUUCAGGAUGAGCCCGCGGUAUAUCAGCUUGUUGGUGGGGUAAUGGCCUACCAAGGCGGCGACGGGUAGCCGGCCUGUGAGGGAGUACGGCCCCAGUGGCACUGGGACGCGGCCGAGAGUCAUACGGGAGGAAGCAGUGGAGUAUGGUGCACAAUGGGCGCAAGGCUGAUGGAGGGUCGCCGCGUGGGAGAUGACGGCCUUCGGGUUGUAAGGCCAUUUCGGCAGGGACGAAGUUUUUGGAAGGGAACCUGCAAAAGAGGCACGGCUUACUUCGGU
rnacentral:rRNA from 1 species